AGGACGAACGCUGGCGGCGUGCUUAACACAUGCAAGUCGAACGGAAAGGCCCUUCGGGGUACUCGAGUGGCGAACGGGUGAGUAACACGUGGGUGAUCUGCCCUGCACUUUGGGAUAAGCCUGGGAAACUGGGUCUAAUACCGAAUAGGACUACGCGAUGCAUGUCGUGUGGUGGAAAGCUUUUGCGGUGUGGGAUGGGCCCGCGGCCUAUCAGCUUGUUGGUGGGGUGAUGGCCUACCAAGGCGACGACGGGUAGCCGGCCUGAGAGGGUGUCCGGCCACACUGGGACUGAGAUACGGCCCAGACUCCUACGGGAGGCAGCAGUGGGGAAUAUUGCACAAUGGGCGCAAGCCUGAUGCAGCGACGCCGCGUGAGGGAUGACGGCCUUCGGGUUGUAAACCGUCUUUCAGUAUCGACGAAGCGCAAGUGACGGUAGGUACAGAAGAAGCACCGGCCAACUACGCGCCAGCAGCCGCGGU
rnacentral:rRNA from 1 species